rnacentral:tRNA from 1 species
UAGAUUGAAGCCCGCUGGUUUGGGUGUUUAGUUGUUAACUAAAGUCUUGCGGGAUCGAGGCCCGUCAGUUUAG